CCAGCAAUCUAGGGAGAUACCUUGAUCGCGUAGGUGCUUUUCCCAGAGCAAGGCUUACCCAUUGCUGUCCAGAUGUGCUGACCCCUUCAGUUUCCCCAAAUGUGGGAAAUUCAACUGCAAAAUUUGUGGUAGUGGAGGGACUGUGUGUUUAUGCUGUCCCCUA
ensembl:snRNA U1 U1 spliceosomal RNA